GCAAGUUUUAACCUUCUUUCCAAUUAGACUUGAAGUGUGAGUUUUUUCCAUGAAUGUGAAUAUAAUGCACGAUAAAUAAGUGGAUAAAGUAUGCAUUUUCACUGACGAUAGUAUGACCCUAAACAAAUAAUGCUUGCCGUCGCCGUUAGCUUUAGCUUAUCGCAAGCUAGGACGAGGCCUGCGGUGCUUGUCUCGGUAUGUUCAAGCAGCAAACAGCGCAGUCGUGCGAGAACGGCACUGCAGUCCUUUCAGACCGGCAAGUUCAGAUACUCGACAAAUUACAUAACAGCACACAGACAGACCGCAGCAUUGAAGGGCCUUCCUUUAUUUCUCCGUGAGUCACGAGAAGCUGUUCAGGAAUUGUCUGGAUACUGACCCAGAAGAGGAGAAGACAAGGGGUCUCAUAGUGGGGAUACUUUCUGUGAUGGAGGAUCACAGUUCCGCUCCUGCAAGACUUCAAAAUGUAGCUGUGGUUUUAGAAGAACAUAUCGUCUUACAAGACCUCCCUGACCUGCCAACGGCCCUUGCGUUGCUCUUUGGGCUGAUAUACGCUCUGAACAUCCAGUUUCCCAAGGAACUGCGAUACACCUUUGAAAUGUUUCAAAAGAUCUUUUUGGAGCUGGGGACAGAUCUCUCUGCAAGAGUGAGAUCCCUCAAAAACAAACUUCUUCUGUAACUCUGUGUCAGAACCUAAUGUUGAGCUGCAAGUUCUGUUGAAAACAAACUUGUUGGGCCUGUUUUAAAUUGUUAAUGUUCAUGCUGCAGCUGCCCUUUUGUAUAUUUACUUAUUUUACUCAGUCCCCCAAAUAUCUCUUCUCUUCCUGUCUAUAGGAAUAAUGCUGUAUUAUGCAUUUUAAUACAGCACGUGCUGUUAUUUCAAUGUUUUAAGAAAGCAACUGUUUCGGGUGAGCUAUUGGUCUUCUGUGCUUUUGCACAGCACUUGAGACAUGCAAGACAUGUUCAAUAAAAAAAGAUUUGAAUUGA
ensembl:lncRNA